rnacentral:rRNA from 1 species
UACGGAGGGGACUAGCGUUGUUCGGAAUUACUGGGCGUAAAGCGCACGUAGGCGGAUUUGUAAGUCAGGGGUGAAAUCCCGAGGCUCAACCUCGGAACUGCCUUUGAUACUGCAAAUCUCGAGUCCGGAAGAGGUGAGUGGAAUUCCUAGUGUAGAGGUGAAAUUCGUAGAUAUUAGGAAGAACACCAGUGGCGAAGGCGGCUCACUGGUCCGGUACUGACGCUGAGGUGCGAAAGCAUGGGGAGCGAACAGG